CUACGGGGGGCUCCAGUGGGGAAUAUUGGACAAUGUGGGAAACCCUGAUCCAGCAAUGCCGCGUGUGUGAAGAAGGCCUGCGGGUUGUAAAGCACUUUCGGUUGGGAGGACUGCUUCUAGCACUAAUAUUGUUGGAAGUUGACGUUACCUUCAGAAGAAGCACCGGCUAACUCCGUGCCAGCAGCCGCGGUAAUACGGAGGGUGCAGGCGUUAAUCGGAAUUACUGGGCGUAAAGCGCGCGUAGGCGGCUAGAUCAGUCGGGUGUGAAAGCCCCGGGCUUAACCUGGGAACUGCAUCCGAUACUGUCUAGCUUGAGUACAGGAGAGGAGAGUGGAAUUCCACAUGUAGCGGUGAAAUGCGUAGAUAUGUGGAGGAACACCAAUGGCGAAGGCAGCUCUCUGGCCUGAUACUGACGCUGAGGUGCGAAAGCGUGGGGAGCAAACAGGAUUAGAUACCCUCGUAGUC
rnacentral:rRNA from 1 species